rnacentral:rRNA from 1 species
AGAGUUUGAUCCUGGCUCAGAACGAACGCUGGCGGCGUGCUUAACACAUGCAAGUCGAACGGGAUCCAGAGCUUGCUCUGGUGAGAGUGGCGCACGGGUGAGUAACGCGUGGAUAACCUGCCCUGGUAUCUGGAAUAACAUCUCGAAAGGGGUGCUAAUACCGGAUAAGCCUACGGAGCCUUCGGUCUCUGCAGGAGAAGGUGGCCUCUAUUUAUAAGCUACCGUAUCAGGAUGGGUCCGCGUACCAUUAGCUAGUUGGUGGGGUAAUGGCCCACCAAGGCGACGAUGGUUAGCUGGUCUGAGAGGAUGAUCAGCCACACUGGAACUGAGACACGGUCCAGACUCCUACGGGAGGCAGCAGUGGGGAAUUUUGCGCAAUGGGGGAAACCCUGACGCAGCAACGCCGCGUGAGUGAUGAAGGCUUUCGGGUCGCAAAGCUCUGUCAGUAGGGAAGAAAUGAGAUUGGCUAAUAUCCAAUUUUCUUGACGGUACCUACAAAGGAAGCACCGGCUAACUCCGUGCCAGCAGCCGCGGUAAUACGGAGGGUGCAAGCGUUGUUCGGAUUUAUUGGGCGUAAAGCGCGUGUAGGCGGUUUCUUAAGUCUGAUGUGAAAGCCCUGGGCUCAACCCAGGAAGUGCAUUGGAUACUGGGAGACUUGAAUACGGGAGAGGGUAGUGGAAUUCCUAGUGUAGGAGUGAAAUCCGUAGAUAUUAGGAGGAACACCGGUGGCGAAGGCGGCUACCUGGACCGAUAUUGACGCUGAGACGCGAAAGCGUGGGAAGCAAACAGGAUUAGAUACC